AUUGAACGCUGGCGGCAUGCCUUACACAUGCAAGUCGAACGGUAACAGGUCUUCGGAUGCUGACGAGUGGCGAACGGGUGAGUAAUACAUCGGAACGUGCCUAGUAGUGGGGGAUAACUACUCGAAAGAGUGGCUAAUACCGCAUGAGAUCUACGGAUGAAAGCAGGGGAUCGCAAGACCUUGUGCUACUAGAGCGGCCGAUGGCAGAUUAGGUAGUCGGUGGGAUAAAAGCUUACCAAGCCGACGAUCUGUAGCUGGUCUGAGAGGACGAUCAGCCACACUGGGACUGAGACACGGCCCAGACUCCUACGGGAGGCAGCAGUGGGGAAUUUUGGACAAUGGGCGAAAGCCUGAUUCAGCAAGGCCGCGUGCAGGAUGAAGGCCUUCGGGUUGUAAACUGCUUUUGUACGGAACGAAAAGCCCCGGGUUAAUACCCUGGGGUCAUGACGGUACCGUAAGAAUAAGCACCGGCUAACUACGUGCCAGCCGCCGCGGUAA
rnacentral:rRNA from 1 species